UACGUAGGGUGCGAGCGUUGUCCGGAAUUAUUGGGCGUAAAGGGCUCGUAGGCGGUUUGUCGCGUCGGGGAGUGAAAACUCAGGGCUUAACCCUGAGCCUGCUUCCGAUACGGGCAGACUAGAGGUAUGCAGGGGAGAACGGAAUUCCUGGUGUAGCGGUGAAAUGCGCAGAAUAUCAGGAGGAACACCGGUGGCGAAGGCGGCGAUCUGGGUCGAUACUGACGUGAGGUGCGAAAGCGUGGGGAGCAAACAGG
rnacentral:rRNA from 1 species